AUACUUACCUGGCACAGGAGACACCAUGAUCAUGAAGGUGGUUUUCCCAGGGUGAGGCUCAUCCAUUGCACUCCAGGUGUGCUGACCCCAGCGAUUUUCCCAAAUGUGGGAAACUUGACUGCAUAAUUUGUGGUAGUGGGGGACUGUGUUCACGCUUCCACCUA
rnacentral:snRNA from 1 species